rnacentral:pre_miRNA from 1 species
AAGCCACAGAAACUGUAAGCAAGUGACUUCUCCCUGGAUGAGUGUCACUUGCUUACAGUUUCUGUGGCUU